UACGUAGGGUGCGAGCGUUGUCCGGAAUUAUUGGGCGUAAAGAGCUUGUAGGCGGUCUGUCGCGUCUGCUGUGAAAAUCCGGGGCUUAACCCCGGACUUGCAGUGGGUACGGGCAGACUAGAGUGUGGUAGGGGAGACUGGAAUUCCUGAUGUAGCGGUGAAAUGCGCAGAUAUCAGGAGGAACACCGAUGGCGAAGGCAGGUCUCUGGGCCACUACUGACGCUGAGAAGCGAAAGCAUGGGGAGCGAACAGG
rnacentral:rRNA from 1 species